rnacentral:lncRNA from 1 species
UGGUUUGUUCUAGCGUUAAUUGAAUCGUGCGUCCCGCCUUCGCCCGAUUCGGAUCCGUUUAAAUUAUAAAGAGAAACGCGAUAACGAAUGUAAACGUCGAACAUAGGGAAAGAGGGGAAAUUGAUCGAGAACGACGUUAACAUCGUUUAUCGCGCGUUUCAAUUAUCGCGUAACUGACUCGCGAGAAUCGUUCUUUAUAUAUAUACAGUAUAUAGGAGGGAGGGAUUCGAAUCUUUUCCGAAUAAAAUUCUUUGAAUUCUAUCGCGACAACGUUCGAGAGAUUGGAAGAAGAAGAAGAAGAAGAAGGAGGAGGAGAAAAAGAAGAACUACAUCGCGAGAAUCUCGCGCGAUAAAGUUACGAUGGAUUCGACUUAAUAAUUCAACUCGACUCGAUCCAUCCCUCUUGGAAAAACAAAAGGGGAUAACGCGCAAAAGGAUCGGUUCGGUUCAAUCUUGGGGACCCGCGCGAAUCAAAGCGUGCAGCGUUCCGUUCGACGCAUCAAUAUUUCCAAACAAAUCCGUCUCGAAUUCGGUACAGUUUCUCUCUCUUGCUUUCCCUGCGCGACGAUCGCGCGGAUUCACGGGCAGCGUUCGAAACACUUUUAGGAUUGUCGAGAAUCUCGAGCAACAACCACUCAAACGAUGUUUUCGUCCGAAAUCGUCAUGCAGCGUGAUGUAAUCCGUAAGAGAGGUGGUCGAAAGGGGGAGAGAAACUGGAACUCGAAGAGAAGGAAAAGAAGGGAAAGUAGGAGGAAGAAAAAAAAGAAGAGAAGAAAGGAAGAAAGAAAGAAACGCGAAAGGGAAGGAAGGAAGAGAAGGAGGAAAGGAGGAAGGAGGGGGGAGGGGAUAAAACGGAGGAAGGCAGUGGGGGUGAGUACCUGGUGCGCUCGCGCACAUCGUGGAGGGUGAUAGCAGCGUGCGCGCAAAGUCCAUCGGUGGAGAACGGAACGGCGGGCGCGAGUAUUGUGUCUCGCGUAUACGUUCUUGCGUUCGUAGUCGGUGCUUGGCUCUAGGUUGGUGCUGGUGCCAACGACACCGAGCUGCUGGUCUCCGGUGGUGGUGAAGCUGGCUGGUGGUAGUGGUGGUGGUGGUGGUGGUGGUGGUGGUGGUGGUGGUGGUCGAAAUAGUGGGGGAAGAAUGUUGGAGGGUUGCUGAAGUUUCCCUAACGCUCGAUGGCGUACCAGUGCAGAUCGUGAUUCUGUGGGACGUGCAGCGUCGCGGUGCUCAGCUGUCCUUAGCCUUUGCGUCGUCCGAUCGGAACGGGCACACGCACCACGACGCCGAGAGUGGCACGUAGACGGGACGUGGCGCACGUCUUGCUCGGUUCACGCGAUGUUAUCGUGUGGAUAAAAAGGAAAGAAGAAAAAAAAAAAAAAAUUGGGUGAUCGUAUCUAUGUAGAAGGGUAGGGUAGUAGAUCGCGAGUAGAAGGGCGCGUGAUCGACGUGUCGGCGUGUCGCGUGAAAUUACGGCAGAGAGGAAGGAAGGAAGGAAGGAAGGAAGGGAGGAAGGAAGGAAGAGGCGAGUAAAAAAGAAAAAAUAUUGGCCGGAGGACAGGAUCUCCCGCGGCUGGAGACACCUCCUUGGCCGCGUGUGUUUCAACGCGAUUUUCAACGUCUGUUCCGUUCCUUUCUCCUCCUCCCCUCCUCCCCAACGUGUUCGCGCUUGAAACUGGACGGGGACUGGAAGAGUGUUUACGCGGGGAACCGUACUGCGACUGCGAGGAUCGAAGGACGAGUAGGAAGCAGGCAGGCAUUUCCGCCCGCUGCGGUGCUUAACUCUGGACAGAGGUUGGUCAGAGGUCGUGGCCAACCUCGAGACGCGCAUCCGGUUUGGGAAGAGAGUCGAAGAAAUAAGUGACGCGGUGGUGAAACGAUUCGUUAUUGCGUACGGAACGCGCAUUUUUCGAAGACAUUUCGAUCGCGUUCCUCAAACUUUGAGGCGUCGAACGAGAAGUCGAGCCGUGAAAAAACAUUUGGAAAACUUCUUUCUUUCUUUCUUUGUACCCCGGUCGAUGUACAAACUUCCCUUCCCGGAGCACGAGUGGACGUAACCCGGGGAAGAUCCUUUUUCUGCCUCGUGGAAGAGGAAUGGCGUGAAACCUCGGCGAACAAGCAAGUCGAAACCAACCUUUGUUUCUUCCUCGAUCUUCUCGGCCCAUUUGCUCGGACCACGCUUCGAUUCGUUCACGAAAGAAAGGAUACGAUAGACAACGAGGAUGGAUGUACAGUUCGACGUUGGACUCGAAGCCACUUUGCCGAGGAACGCGUGUGCCAAGAAAAUCGAGAUUUAAACGCCUCUAGCCGACCUCUUCUUUCUUUCUUUCUUUCUUUCUUC